rnacentral:rRNA from 1 species
CCCUUAGAUGUUCUGGGCCGCACGCGCGCUACACUGACGAAUGCAACGAGCUUAUAACCUUGGCCGAAAGGUCUAGGUAAUCUCCAAAUUUCGUCGUGAUGGGGAUAGAUUAUUGCAAUUAUUAAUCUUCAACGAGGAAUGCCUAGUAAGCGCAAGUCAUCAGCUUGCGUUGAUUACGUCCCUGCCCUUUGUACACACCGCCCGUCGCUCCUACCGAUUGAAUGGUCCGGUGAAGCGUUCGGACCGUGGCCUUUGGACGGUUCGCCGUCUGUUGGCUGCGGGAAGUUCGUUAAACCUUAUCAUUUAGAGGAAGGAGAAGUCGUAACA